rnacentral:lncRNA from 1 species
UCAGGCUCCAUGCUUUCUGUGCAGUAUGUAAAUUGAUUCAUUGUCAUACUAAUUAUAAAUGGCUAGUAUUAUUGCUGCUUUACAGAGCUCUUGCAUGGUGGUAGAACCGAGGACAGCCUAGACCUUCUGAUUGUCAACUCCUUGUUCCAUUGUGUCCAAACCUACAUGUCUGAACUCCUCUCAUCAAAGACUUCUCAAAGUUAUUAAUAACUGGGGAUCACGUAUUCAGUAAUUACACACAUCAGGCUCCAUGCUUUCUGUGCAGUAUGUAAAUUGAUUCAUUGUCAUACUAAUUAUAAAUGGCUAGUAUUAUUGCUGCUUUACAAAUGAGGCAUAUGACACACAGGGAGCUAAAUAAUUUGCCUAAGGUCACCCCACUUGUAAAUGAUGAAGCCAGGACUCAAGGCCAGGUCUGGCCACCCCUGAAUUUAAUAGCUUUAUCCUCUAUAUCUCUGUUUUCUCCCAGACCAAGGUGUCUGUACCUCUCUGCCAACAGAGAAAAGGGUUCAUUCAUUCAUCAAAUGUUUGUUGAGCAUCUAUUGUGACUCAGGCAAUAUCCUAGAUCAAGGAUUGUCAAACUUUUUCUAUAAAGGACAAGAGAGCAAACAUUUUAGGUCUCCUGGGUCAUACGGUCAGUCACUGUGAUUCAACUCUGCUGUUGUAGUACAAGAUUGUGAAAGCAGCCAUAGAUGAUAUGUCAAUGAAUGAGCAUGGUUGUGUUCCAAUAAAAUGUCACUUGCGAAAGCAGGCUGUGGGCUGGGUUUGGGCCAAGAGUUCUAUCCCUGCUCUAGGCACUGGAGUUACAAUAGCAAAAAAUUAAAAUAAAGUAAAAUAAAAACAC